GCUGCCGCUGCGCCCCAUCCCCCCGCGGCCGGCCAGUUCCAGCCCGCACCCCGCGUCGGUGCCCGCGCCCCUCCCCGGGCCCCGCCAUGGGCCUCACCGUGUCCGCGCUCUUUUCGCGGAUCUUCGGGAAGAAGCAGAUGCGGAUUCUCAUGGUUGGCUUGGAUGCGGCUGGCAAGACCACAAUCCUGUACAAACUGAAGUUGGGGGAGAUUGUCACCACCAUCCCAACCAUAGGCUUCAAUGUAGAAACAGUGGAAUAUAAGAACAUCUGUUUCACAGUCUGGGACGUGGGAGGCCAGGACAAGAUUCGGCCUCUGUGGCGGCACUACUUCCAGAACACUCAGGGCCUCAUCUUUGUGGUGGACAGUAAUGACCGGGAGCGGGUCCAAGAAUCUGCUGAUGAACUCCAGAAGAUGCUGCAGGAGGACGAGCUGCGGGAUGCAGUGCUGCUGGUAUUUGCCAACAAGCAGGACAUGCCCAACGCCAUGCCCGUGAGCGAGCUGACUGACAAGCUGGGGCUACAGCACUUACGCAGCCGCACGGUAGGGGUCCUGCCCACCUGGUGC
rnacentral:sRNA from 1 species